CAGUAGCCGCGGUAAUACGUAGGGUCCGAGCGUUGUCCGGAAUUACUGGGCGUAAAGAGCUCGUAGGUGGUUUGUCGCGUUGUUCGUGAAAACUCACAGCUCAACUGUGGGCGUGCGGGCGAUACGGGCAGACUAGAGUACUGCAGGGGAGACUGGAAUUCCUGGUGUAGCGGUGGAAUGCGCAGAUAUCAGGAGGAACACCGGUGGCGAAGGCGGGUCUCUGGGCAGUAACUGACGCUGAGGAGCGAAAGCGUGGGGAGCGAACAGGAUUAGAUACCCCCGUAGUCCCUGUCUCUUAUAC
rnacentral:rRNA from 1 species